UACGAAGGGGGCUAGCGUUGUUCGGAAUCACUGGGCGUAAAGGGCGCGUAGGCGGCCUUGCAAGUGACGGGUGAAAUCCCUCGGCUUAACCGAGGAACUGCCUGUCAAACUGCGUGGCUUGAGACCGGGAGAGGUGAGUGGAAUUCCCAGUGUAGCGGUGAAAUGCGUAGAUAUUGGGAGGAACACCAGUGGCGAAGGCGGCUCACUGGACCGGUACUGACGCUGAUGCGCGAAAGCGUGGGGAGCAAACAGG
rnacentral:rRNA from 1 species